CAGCCGCCGCGGUAAUACAGAGGGUGCGAGCGUUAAUCGGAUUUACUGGGCGUAAAGCGUGCGUAGGCGGCUUCUUAAGUCGGAUGUGAGAUCCCUGAGCUUAACUUAGGAAUUGCAUUCGAUACUGGGAAGCUAGAGUAUGGGAGAGGAUGGUAGAAUUCCAGGUGUAGCGGUGAAAUGCGUAGAGAUCUGGAGGAAUACCGAUGGCGAAGGCAGCCAUCUGGCCUAAUACUGACGCUGAGGUACGAAAGCAUGGGGAGCAAACAGGAUUAGAUACCCCGGUAGUCCCUGUCUCUUAUAC
rnacentral:rRNA from 1 species